rnacentral:misc_RNA from 2 species
AGCAGCCGCGGUAAUUCCAGCUCCAAUAGCGUAUAUUAAAGCUGUUGCAGUUAAAAAGCUCGUAGUUGAACUUCGGGGUUUACCCAUUGGUCAGGCUUAAUUGUCUGUACUGGUGAGAUGAAUCUCUACCUUCUGAGGAACUUUCAUGCCAUUUAUUUGGUGUGAUGGGAAAUCAGGACUGUUACUUUGAAAAAAUUAGAGUGUUUAAAGCAGGCUAACGUCUGAAUACAUUAGCAUGGAAUAAUGAAAUAGGACGGACUGAUUCUAUUUCGUUGGUUUCUAGGAUCACCGUAAUGAUUAAUAGGGAUAGUUGGGGGCAUUAGUAUUCAAUUGUCAGAGGUGAAAUUCUUGGAUUUAUUGAAGACUAACUACUGCGAAAGCAUUUGCCAAGGAUGUUUUCAUUAAUCAAGAACGAAAGUUAGGGGAUCGAAGACGAUCAGAUACCGUCGUAGUCUUAACCAUAAACUAUGCCGACUAGGGAUCGGACGAAGUUAAUUUUAUAAUGACGCGUUCGGCACCU